rnacentral:rRNA from 1 species
AUGGAAUCACGGAGAGAACAAACGACCGAAGAGGCAUGCAUGUGCACAGACAGACAGGCUGGAGCCGCGAUUGCCGAUCUGGUACUCUUUGCUGCAGCGGCGCGCUCCGGAGGACAGGCAGGCCGCGUGCCCCCAGCAGGAGCCAUGGCUCGUCGUCGUCGGUCACUGCUCCUUCCAGAUGCGGCCGGUCACGCGCAGCUUGAGCUCCUGCCGGGUGCCGCUGGAGAAGAAGAGGGCCAUGUUGCGGUGGAUGAUGAGCCCGUCAAAGCUGUCCCGCACCUUCUUGUGCCCGUCCCGGAUGCUCCGCGGCGUGCCCUGCCACGUCAGCUUCCGCCCGUUCCCGCCCACCUCCAGGCUGUAGCAGAAGCCCCGAGCCUCGCUCUCCUCCCCCAUGAACCGCAGGAAUGCCAUGUACACCGGGGACAUCCCCAGCAGGAACGCCUCGAAGUGGAGGCAGAAGUGCUGACCAAAACACUUGAACACCUGCAAAAUGGCAGAGAGCGUGUCACUACAGUAGACUGA